AGGACGAACGCUGGCGGCGUGCUUAACACGUGCAAGUGGAGCGACGAACCAGGGCUUGCCCUGGGGCAGAGCCGCGAACGGGUGAGUAACACGUGGGUUACCUGCCUCGAUGACCGGGACAACCCGAGGAAACUCGGGCUAAUACCGGAUGUGCCCGCAAGGGGAAAGGAAGCUUCGGCCUCCGCAUCGAGAUGGGCCCGCGGCCCAUUAGCUUGUUGGUGAGGUAACGGCUCACCAAGGCUUCGAUGGGUAGCUGGUCUGAGAGGACGAUCAGCCACACUGGGACUGAGACACGGCCCAGACUCCUACGGGAGGCAGCAGUGGGGAAUCUUGCGCAAUGCGCGAAAGCGUGACGCAGCAACGCCGCGUGGGGGAAGAAGGCUUUCGGGUUGUAAACCCCUUUCAGUUGGGACGAAGCUUCUCCGGUGAAUAGCCGGACGGAGUGACGGUACCUUCACAAGAAGCACCGGCUAACUACGUGCCAGCAGCCGCGGU
rnacentral:rRNA from 1 species